AAGGACAUGUGAAUGUCUUCUUUUCUUAGUCUUCCAGUGCUACUAGAAUUUGGAAGAAACUUGAAUAGUCACCAAGACAGCAAUAGUGAGAUUUACUGGCUAAGCAUUCGAGCAUUUAGCCAAUGAAAGGAAGUGGAAAUUGGCUUUUCAAGUUAAAACAUUUAACUUCUUGUAGUUUAUAUAGACUUUCCACUCGUUUUAGACCCGAGAGGGAACCAAUUCAGAAAGUUAGGAAUUGAGCAUCAAUUAAUCUCUGGAAUGAUUUCUGACCACUAAAACCUGGUCAAUGAAGGGUGAAAACUCAAGACAUCAACAUAAAUUAUAUGAAUGUUUCAGACUUAAUAGAUAUGGACACUUUUACUUGGAAAUCUGAAGUAUUGAGGGCUUUAUUUGAUGACAAACAAGUGAGAAGGAUAUUGGCAAUCCCAUUGGCUAGUAGUGCACAGACGAAUGAAGUAGUGUGGCAUAAAGGCAACACUAGCGUCUAUAAAGCUAAAAGAGGAUACAAGUGGCUAGUUACAGAGGAAUUGGAUUUGCUAGGAUAUGAUCACACAACACAUUCUACAGUACUAAAAGCUUUCUAUAGUUGUAGAAUUUAAAUAUCCCAUGCAAAAUCAGGAUUGCAAUGUGGAAAAUUGCCAAUGGGUAUUUUCCUACGCUACAAAUGUUAAAAAAAACGAUAGCAAUAGAAAGCCUUUUUCCUAUCUACCAAACUGAGGAGGAAUCAGUAGAGCACCUGUUUCAGGAAUGUUAGUUCACGUAACAAAUCCUGUAGAGGAUUGGUGUGGUGUUCUCAACCACAAAUGGAAAGCAAAAUUGGAAACUUUGGUUGGUAGAAGAGUUUAUAAACAACAGCUGCUCUAUGUGCAAAACAAUAGCUAUUAGCUAUUGGGCAUUAUGGUACAAUCGAAACAAGGUAAAUUAUGAGGGGGCAAGGAAACAAAUGCAUGAAGUACUAGCUUUUAUCAAUGCUCAUAUUUUAGAGAUGAAAAAAUUAGAAGAUAUAACAGUACCAAUGUAAAACCCUCGAGUUAGUAAAUGGAAGCCACUAGAAGGUGAUAGUGUUAAAGCUCAUUUCAUCAACAGUUAAAUAAAUCAGUCUAGGUGAUUUUAAUUAGAAACAGGGAGGGCCUAGUUAUGGCAACGUGUACUUACCUGAAUGAGCGUGUUAAAAUCAACCAUGGAAAAAGCGCGAGCAUGUUUGAAACCUGUAAUUUUCGUGAAGGAACUAGGGUUUAGAAGGAUUUUGGUAGAAGGGGACAUCUUAACUGUUUUGAAGAGAGUAAGGACCGUAGAGGAGGAUAAAUCAAAUAUCAGUAAUCUAGUCAAGGAAGUAAAAGAAAGGAUUUGUAGGUUUGAAAAAAAUAGAAUUUCGAAACGUACCUUAGAAAGCUAAUGAAGUUUGGCAGAGGAAGGUAGGCGUUAUGAAAACCCCAAAUAUUGGAUAGAAGAGGCUCUGAAGAGAGUGAAAGAACUAUUAAAUCAAGAUUGACAUGGACUACAAUGAGAGGGAUGAAGAAUGAGGUUACUGAGACCGAAAGAACUAUGACUAUUUGGACUUCGAUGAACUCAGAUUGUCAUAGAGGGAUCGAGCCGUAAACGGAAGCAUACCCAAGAUCAACAGGAGGAAAACAGGACUGCCUCUGGUGUUUUUGUGAUGUAAUGAUCGAAUUAGCGAAAUGGAAAGGAAGAUGGUUCAUUUCUUUACUAUUUUUGGUUUUCUUUUCCUUUAGAAAUCUAUUUUGGUUUUUGGAUAUGAGUUAUCCCCAAUUUUUUAAUUCUGUUACUUUCAAGGCACUGCCCAUUCGACUAAUAAAAUUGACGCAGAAGAAAAGUUGAUUGGUGGGCUGGGAAUUGUAACCGAUGACUUCC
rnacentral:lncRNA from 1 species